CCGUCUCGAUUUGCUGCGGGCAAAUAAAAUGAAUAUGCGAAUCGAUUGCUCCUGCCGUUACGAUCUUGCCUUCUCCGGCGAUUACCUCGGUGCUUGCGCCAACGAUCAUAUUCGGAUGCACGCCAUCCAUAAUGUCUGGAUUGCCCGCCUUCCCGAUGCCGACGAUAUAUCCGUCUUUAAUGCCGAUAUCCGCUUUUAUAAUGCCGGAAUGAUCAAUGAUAACUGCGUUGGUGAUGAGCGUAUCAAGCACGCCUUCAUCACGCAUGGCACCGCUUGAUUGCCCCAUGCCAUCUCGG
rnacentral:sRNA from 1 species